CAGCCGCCGCGGGAAAACCGAGGGUGCAAGCGUUAAUCGGAAUUACUGGGCGUAAAGCGCGCGUAGGUGGUUUGUUAAGUUGGAUGUGAAAUCCCCGGGCUCAACCUGGGAACUGCAUCCAAAACUGGCAAGCUAGAGUAUGGUAGAGGGUGGUGGAAUUUCCUGUGUAGCGGUGAAAUGCGUAGAUAUAGGAAGGAACACCAGUGGCGAAGGCGACCACCUGGACUGAUACUGACACUGAGGUGCGAAAGCGUGGGGAGCAAACAGGAUUAGAUACCCCGCGUAGUCCCUGUCUCUUAUA
rnacentral:rRNA from 1 species